GACGAACGCUGGCGGCGUGCCUAAUACAUGCAAGUAGGACGCAGUUGCGAACGGGUGAGUAACGCGUAGGUAACUGCCUAUUAGAGGGGGAUAACUAUUGGAAACGAUAGCUAAUACCGCAUACUAGUAGAUGGACCUGCGUUGUAUUAGCUAGUAGGUAGGGUAAUGGCCUACCUAGGCGACGAUACAUAGCCGACCUGGGAAGGUGGUCGGCCACAAUUGGACUGAGACACGGCCCUGACUCCUACGGGAGGAAGCAGUAGGGAUUCUUCGGCAAUGGGGGGAACCCUGACCAUGCAGCGCCGCGUGAGUGAAGAAGGUUUUCGGGUCGUAAAGCUCUGUUGUUAAGGAAGCGGUACUUAACCAGAAAGGGACGGCUAACUACGUGCCAGCAGCCGCGGUAAUUC
rnacentral:rRNA from 1 species